CCCUUCGGGGUACACGAGAGGCGGACGGCUGAGUAACGCGUGGGAACGCACCCUACACUGAGGGAUAAGAUACCGAAAGGUGUUCUAAUACCGCAUACGGUCUUCGGAUUAAAGUCUUCGGACGGUGAAGGAGCGGCCCGCGUCAUAUUAGGUAGUUGGUGGGGUAAUGGCCUACCAAGCCGAUGAUGUGUAGCUGGUCUGAGAGGAUGAUCAGCCAGACUGGAACUGAGAACGGUCCAGACUCCUACGGGAGGCAGCAGCG
rnacentral:rRNA from 1 species